CAGAGUAGAUCUGCACGCGUUAUAAGUGCUUCGGGGACGGGGAGUUGUCCCGGGGACGAAAAGGCUUUGCCUUGCGGUGUGCAGAUUGCAUCCCGCUGU
rnacentral:ncRNA from 1 species